rnacentral:rRNA from 1 species
CCUACGGGGGGCAGCAGUAGGGAAUAUUGCACAAUGGGGGAAACCCUGAUGCAGCGACGCCGCGUGAGUGAUGAAGUACUUCGGUAUGUAAAGCUCUAUCAGCAGGGAAGAAAAUGACGGUACCUGACUAAGAAGCCCCGGCUAACUACGUGCCAGCAGCCGCGGUAAUACGUAGGGGGCAAGCGUUAUCCGGAUUUACUGGGUGUAAAGGGAGCGUAGACGGUGUGGCAAGUCUGAUGUGAAAGGCGGGGGCUCAACCGCGGGACGGCAUUGGAAACUGGACAGCUGGAGUGCAGGAGAGGCAAGUGGAAUUCCUAGUGUAGCGGUGAAAUGCGUAGAUAUUAGGAGGAACACCAGUGGCGAAGGCGGCUUGCUGGACUGUAACUGACGUUGAGGUUCGAAAGCGUGGGGAGCAAACAGGAUUAGAUACCCCAGUAGUC